rnacentral:rRNA from 1 species
AGUGAACGCUGGCGGUAGGCCUAACACAUGCAAGUCGAACGGCAGCACAGUAAGAGCUUGCUCUUACGGGUGGCGAGUGGCGGACGGGUGAGGAAUACAUCGGAAUCUACUUUUUCGUGGGGGAUAACGUAGGGAAACUUACGCUAAUACCGCAUACGACCUACGGGUGAAAGCAGGGGAUCUUCGGACCUUGCGCGAUUGAAUGAGCCGAUGUCGGAUUAGCUAGUUGGCGGGGUAAAGGCCCACCAAGGCGACGAUCCGUAGCUGGUCUGAGAGGAUGAUCAGCCACACUGGAACUGAGACACGGUCCAGACUCCUACGGGAGGCAGCAGUGGGGAAUAUUGGACAAUGGACGCAAGCCUGAUCCAGCCAUACCGCGUGGGUGAAGAAGGCCUUCGGGUUGUAAAGCCCUUUUGUUGGGAAAGAAAAGCAGCAGGUUAAUACCCCGCUGUUCUGACGGUACCCAAAGAAUAAGCACCGGCUAACUUCGU